CGGGGUGUAGCGCAGCUUGGUAGCGCAUCCGCUUUGGGAGCGGAAGGCCGCAGGUUCAAAUCCUGUCACCCCGACCG
rnacentral:tRNA from 19 species